rnacentral:rRNA from 1 species
UACGUAGGCAGCAAGCGUUGUUCGGAGUUACUGGGCGUAAAGGGUGCGUAGGUGGCUCUAUAAGUAUGGUGUGAAAUCUCCCGGCUUAACUGGGAGGGUGCGCCGUAGACUGUGGGGCUAGAGUGUGGGAGAGGAAAGUGGAAUUCCUGGUGUAGCGGUGAAAUGCGUAGAUAUCAGGAGGAACACCGGUGGUGUAGACGGCUUUCUGGACCGUAACUGACGCUGAGACACGAAAGCGUGGGUAGCAAACAGG